AUCAGAACAUUUUCCAGGGGAACAUAAAAUAAAAUAAAAUGACAGUAUUUCUUCAGAAGUCUGAUGUGACGGAAGAUGAGGAAUCCCCGGAGCUUCGUUUCAACAUUGUCCGAUACAGAAGCUCAGAGUGGACAAACUUAAGCGAUGGAUGAAGGCGGAUGCCUGGAAGCGAGCGGACAGAAGGCAGCGUAGGCUUGUGUAAUAUUCGCCUGUCUUUAUGUUGAAUUCGUUAACCAGCGCACCUCUUCCUCCAAAUGUAUCUGGAGGAAAUAUGUUAAAAACUGUUGUGUAAUCCUCCGUGUGUGUGUAUUAACUAGCAUUGAAGCUAAAGUGG